CCCCGCCCACAUCCCCGCCCCGCCUUAAAGGGGCCGCCGGCGGCCGGCGGUACGCAGGGCGCAGGCUCGCAGCGGCGCGGCAUGUACACUCUGGCUAAGGGGCCCAGCAAGCUGGUGGCGCAGCGGCGCUCAGGUCCCCCGCAGCAGCAGGUGGACAGCCGGCUCGGAGAGCUCCUGAAAUGCCGGCCGCCCGCGCCGCCCCCUCCGGGGCCCUGGCCGCUGCCCAGUGCCCCUCUCAGCCAAGGAGGACCCCCGCCUGAGCCCCGGAGAGCCAGCAGGCCGGCGGGACCGCGAGUCCCUGGUGGAGCAGCACGAGCAGCCCAGGACUCCCGGCGCCCACCUCCUGCUUCCGGGGCCAAGGCUUGUGUUCAACAGGGUGAAUGGCCGGAGGCCCCCUGCCACCUCCCCGUCCCUCGAGGGCCCUCAGGAAGCCUACACACUGGCCCACGAGGAGAAUGUUCGCUUCGUAUCAGAAGCCUGGCAGCAAGUGGAGCGGCAGCUGGGUGGUGGCCCAGCCGGUGAGGGAGGCUUCAGACCUGUGCAGUACGUGGAGAGGACCCCCAACCCUCGGCUGCAGAAUUUUGUGCCCAUCGACCUGGAUGAAUGGUGGGCACAGCAGUUCCUGGCUAGAAUCACCAACUGUUCCUAGCACUGAAGGCCGACCCACGGGCAGCCAUCGCCUCAGGACUACACCAAGCCAACCAGGCCUGGCCGUGUGCCGGCCACACCUGAAGUGCCAGCGUUUGGACUUUUGUACCUGAUGACCCCCGACCUGGCUGUGCAGGGGGUCGGGGGAACUGUCUGACCUCAGUCCUGCUCACUGUGCCAGAGACUGGCCCCUGGGGCUGGCAGGGAGCUUCUCCAGGCUAAUAAAGUGAGAAACUGCC